rnacentral:rRNA from 1 species
UACAGAGGUGGCAAGCGUUGUUCGGAAUUAUUGGGCGUAAAGGGCUCGUAGGCGGUCUGUCGCGUCGGGAGUGAAAACUCAGGGCUUAACCCUGAGCCUGCUUCCGAUACGGGCAGACUAGAGGUAUGCAGGGGAGAACGGAAUUCCUGGUGUAGCGGUGAAAUGCGCAGAUAUCAGGAGGAACACCGGUGGCGAAGGCGGUUCUCUGGGCAUUACCUGACGCUGAGGAGCGAAAGUGUGGGGAGCGAACAGG